rnacentral:rRNA from 1 species
UUGAUCCUGGCUCAGGAUGAACGCUAGCGGCAGGCCUAACACAUGCAAGUCGAGGGGUAACGAUAGUGCUUGCACUAGGCGACGACCGGCGCACGGGUGAGUAACGCGUAUGCAACCUACCUUUAACUGGGGGAUAGCCCAGGGAAACUUGGAUUAAUACCCCAUAAUAUCUUUUUGUCUCAUGACAUUUUGAUUAAAACUCCGGUGGUUUGAGAUGGGCAUGCGUGACAUUAGCUUGUUGGUGAGGUAACGGCUCACCAAGGCAACGAUGUCUAGGGGGUCUUAAAGGAUGAUCCCCCACACUGGUACUGAGACACGGACCAGACUCCUACGGGAGGCAGCAGUGAGGAAUAUUGGUCAAUGGGCGCAAGCCUGAACCAGCCAUCCCGCGUGUAGGAUGAAAGCCCUAUGGGUUGUAAACUACUUUUUUAUGGGAAGAAAAUUCUGUACGUGUACAGAACUGACGGUACCAUACGAAUAAGCAUCGGCUAACUCCGUGCCAGCAGCCGCGGUAAUACGGUGGAUGCAAGCGUUAUCCGGAUUUAUUAGGUUUAAAGGGUGCGUAGGCGGGACUUUAAGUCAGUGGUGAAAUCCUGCGGCUUAACCGCAGAACUGCCAUUGAAACUAUUGUUCUUGAGUUCAGUUGAGGCAGGCGGAAUGUGUAAUGUAGCGGUGAAAUGCAUAGAUAUUACACAGAACACCGAUUGCGAAGGCAGCUUGCUAUACUGUUACUGACGCUGAUUCACGAAAGCGUGGGGAGCGAACAGGAUUAGAUACCCUGGUAGUCCACGCCGUAAACGAUGCUCACUGGUUGUUGGCGCUACAUUGUCAGCGACUGAGGGAAACCAUUAAGUGAGCCACCUGGGGAGUACGUCGGCAACGAUGAAACUCAAAGGAAUUGACGGGGGCCCGACCAAGCGGUGGAACAUGUGGUUUAAUUCGAUGAUACGCGAGGAACCAUACCUGGGCUUAAAUGCAGCAACACUUCGGUGUUAGAUCAAAGAGAUUCGGGGCAAUUUACAAGGUGCUGCAUGGCUGUCGUCAGCUCGUGCCGUGAGGUGUCGGGUUAAGUCCCAUAACGAGCGCAACCCCUAUCACUAGUUGCCAGCGGAUAAUGCCGGGGACUCUAGUGAGACUGCCACCGUAAGGUGUGAGGAAGGUGGGGAUGACGUCAAGUCAGCACGGCCCUUAUGUCCGGGGCUACACACGUGUUACAAUGGCAAGUACAAAGAGUCGCUACACAGUGAUGUGAUGCUAAUCUCUAAAGCCUGUCCCAGUUCGGAUUGGAGUCUGCAACCCGACUCCAUGAAGUUGGAUUCGCUAGUAAUCGGAUAUCAGCCCGCUACGGUGAAUACGUUCCCGGGCCUUGUACACACCGCCCGUCAAGCCAUGGAAGCCGGGGGUACCUGAAGUCCGUAACCGAAAGGAUCGGCCUAGG